GACGUAGGGAGCGAGCGUUGUCCGGAUUCAUUGGGCGUAAAGAGCUCGUAGGCGGCUCGUUGCGUCGGCUGUGAAAACCCGCAGCUCAACUGUGGGCUUGCAGCCGAUACGGGCGGGCUGGAGUUCGGUAGGGGAGACUGGAAUUCCUGGUGUAGCGGUGAAAUGCGCAGAUAUCAGGAGGAACACCGGUGGCGAAGGCGGGUCUCUGGGCCGAUACUGACGCUGAGGAGCGAAAGCGUGGGGAGCGAACAGG
rnacentral:rRNA from 1 species